GAUGAACGCUGGCGGCGUGCCUAAUACAUGCAAGUCGAGCGAACGGACGAGAAGCUUGCUUCUCUGAUGUUAGCGGCGGACGGGUGAGUAACACGUGGAUAGCCUACCUAUAAGACUGGGAUAACUUCGGGAAACCGGAGCUAAUACCGGAUAAUAUUUUGAACCGCAUGGUUCAAAAGUGAAAGACGGUCUUGCUGUCACUUAUAGAUGGAUCCGCGCUGCAUUAGCUAGUUGGUAAGGUAACGGCUUACCAAGGCAACGAUGCAUAGCCGACCUGAGAGGGUGAUCGGCCACACUGGAACUGAGACACGGUCCAGACUCCUACGGGAGGCAGCAGUAGGGAAUCUUCCGCAAUGGGCGAAAGCCUGACGGAGCAACGCCGCGUGAGUGAUGAAGGUCUUCGGAUCGUAAAACUCUGUUAUUAGGGAAGAACAUAUGUGUAAGUAACUGUGCACAUCUUGACGGUACCUAAGCAGAAAGCCACGGCUAACUACGU
rnacentral:rRNA from 1 species